UACGUAGGGGGCUAGCGUUGUCCGGAAUCAUUGGGUGUAAAGCGCGUGUAGGCGGUCCGGUAAGUCCGCUGUGAAAGUCGGGGGCUCAACCCUCGAAUGCCGGUGGAUACUGUCGGGCUAGAGUGCGGAAGAGGCGAGUGGAAUUCCUGGUGUAGCGGUGAAAUGCGCAGAUAUCAGGAGGAACACCAAUGGCGAAGGCAGCUCGCUGGGACGUGACUGACGCUGAGACGCGAAAGCGUGGGGAGCAAACAGG
rnacentral:rRNA from 1 species